rnacentral:rRNA from 1 species
CACGUAGGGCGCAAGCGUUGUCCGGAAUUAUUGGGCGUAAAGCGUCCGCAGGUGGCACUUCAAGUCUGUCGUCAAAGACCGGGGCUUAACCCUGGAAAGGCGAUGGAAACUGAAAGGCUAGAGAGAGGUAGGGGUAGAGGGAAUUCCCAGUGUAGCGGUGAAAUGCGUAGAGAUUGGGAAGAACAUCGGUGGCGAAAGCGCUCUACUGGACCUCAUCUGACACUCAGGGACGAAAGCUAGGGGAGCGAAUGGG